rnacentral:rRNA from 1 species
AUGGACGCCGAGCUGCGGGACCUGCACCACGACCUCGCCACGCUGCUCGACCUCCUGCCCGUCGUCGAGCUCGGCCUCGCCGACAACGUCAUGGACCUCCUCGCCCUCGCCUCGCGCCAGUGCCGCCGUUGCGCGUCGGCCGCCGAGCCGGGGCCGGCGCUCAAGACCACCGUGCUGUCGCUGAUCGAGGAAAUCGAGCGGGAGAUCGUGCCCGAGCGGGAGAGGCUGGAGGAGAUCCUGGAGGAGGUUGGCAUCAACGACCCGGCCAGCUGCAGCGACGAGAUCGAGAGCCUCGAGCGGGACAUCGGCGACCGAGCAUCGGAGAGAUGGACUGCCGCCAUGAUCGCCCUCGUCGGCCUGCUCCGGUACGCCAAGUGUGUCCUGUUCAGUGCCACGCCCCGGCCUUUUCGGAUUCCAAGGCGGACAUCGAUGUCGAAGAUGACGGGGAGUCACCGGCGCCCCCACCGGACCUCCGGUGCCCCAUCUCCCUCGAUCUAA